AUGCCCUGGACCUCGCAACAGGCAGCAUGCCCUGGACCUCGCAACAGGCAGCAUGCCCUGGACCUCGCAACAGGCAGCAUGCCCUGGACCUCGCAACAGGCAGCAUGCCCUGGACCUCGCAACAGGCAGCAUGCCCUGGACCUCGCAACAGGCAGCAUGCCCUGGACCUCGCAACAGGCAGCAUGCCCUGGACCUCGCAACAGGCAGCAUGCCCUGGACCUCGCAACAGGCAGCAUGCCCUGGACCUCGCAACAGGCAGCAUGCCCUGGACCUCGCAACAGGCAGCAUGCCCUGGACCUCGCAACAUGCAGCAUGCCCUGGACCUCGCAACAGGCAGCAUGCCCUGGACCUCGCAACAGGCAGCAUGCCCUGGACCUCGCAACAUGCAGCAUGCCCUGGACCUCGCAACAGGCAGCAUGCCCUGGACCUCGCAACAUGCAGCAUGCCCUGGACCUCGCAACAGGCAGCAUGCCCUGGACCUCGCAACAGGCAGCAUGCCCUGGACCUCGCAACAGGCAGCAUGCCCUGGACCUUGCAACAGGCAGCAUGCCCUGGACCUCGCAACAGGCAGCAUGCCCUGGACCUCGCAACAGGCAGCAUGCCCUGGACCUCGCAACAGGCAGCAUGCCCUGGACCUCGCAACAGGCAGCAUGCCCUGGACCUCGCAACAGGCAGCAUGCCCUGGACCUCGCAACAGGCAGCAUGCCCUGGACCUCGCAACAGGCAGCAUGCCCUGGACCUCGCAACAGGCAGCAUGCCCUGGACCUCGCAACAUGCAGCAUGCCCUGGACCUCGCAACAUGCAGCAUGCCCUGGACCUCGCAACAGGCAGCAUGCCCUGGACCUCGCAACAUGCAGCAUGCCCUGGACCUCGCAACAUGCAGCAUGCCCUGGACCUCGCAACAGGCAGCAUGCCCUGGACCUCGCAACAGGCAGCAUGCCCUGGACCUCGCAACAGGCAGCAUGCCCUGGACCUCGCAACAGGCAGCAUGCCCUGGACCUCGCAACAGGCAGCAUGCCCUGGACCUCGCAACAGGCAGCAUGCCCUGGACCUCGCAACAUGCAGCAUGCCCUGGACUACUGGAAGGUUGUGUUAACAACAAAGAUAUACACUUUAAAACAAGUAUGUUCCCUUGACUCGUUAAAAAAAUAUAGUAUAUUAUAUUUAUAUUAUAUAUUAUAUUUUUUAGAUACAGUAUAUUUACUGUAA
rnacentral:lncRNA from 1 species